UGAGCCGAGGGUGCUUAAGUUUCGCUACAGCCGGCCUGAGCCUUCCCCGCGUAGCCGCAGCUCGCCAGGGGGCUAAUGGGCGUCCAGUGGAGCCGCGUGUGCUGCCUCCCUCGCUGGAUACAGAAGCCGACCUGUGGUAGCGGAGGUGCUAGAGCCAAGGGAGCGGGGGCUGCAGCAACCCCCGCUCGAAGUGGUGAUCAUCAAACCACAGUUUGAGUCAAUGGCUCUCAGCACCCCCCACUAUACAAAUUGUUCCAGCACCCCUGUGUGGCUACUACCUGUUCUGAAUUGUGCAGGUCUGUCCCAUAUCUUGGAGAUCCACUUGAAGGACAUUUACAAAUUCUGAAUUUAUCGUGGAUAGGGAAUCACCCAGGAUGAGGUAACCAUCAUGAGGUAAUGCUAUGACACAGUGGAAUUUGUUCCACCAGAUAAAUCCCGAAAAAUGGCAAACUUGGAUCCUCAGAAUUCAGAAAUGCUUGUUAGCCUUGAGGAUAAUGGCUAGCCUGAUUUGUUUGCUCCAUCAGAAAUGGCCGGCUAACCUGGGACUUCUGAAGAAUGCAAUGCUAGAGUAUUCCACAUGAUCACCUGGAGAAAAUGAAGGACAUCAUCUUUCACACACAUCCUACUCCUCAGAGGCCCUGAUCCAGUAAUGAACCCUGCUUGGGAAGACCUCGGUGCUUGCAUGAAACUCAUUGUAGGACUGAGCCAUUGUACACUGCUUUAAGUGGUCCCGUUGACGUCUGAGGGAAUAAUAAUGGUAGUAAGUACUACACCCAGCAUUGCUUCACUGGAUUGUAAGAAACUGUAGACACAGAACUGUCAUUGUAUAAAUAAGACUGGAGGAAUGUUGCAGCGAGUUUCUGAGGGAAAUAAUGGAUUUGUCUUGACAAUUUAGAAAAUAAUUGAAAAAUCCUGAGUGCAGACUUUGAAUGAAUGAAUGAAUGAAUGAAUGAAAGAAAGAAAGAAAAUGGCAGUGGCAACCUGUGUGGAGUCCUUCUGCUAUCCUUUUCUCCCAUGCAUAGUUCUUUUCCAUAGGUAAGCAUCCAUAUAUCUUUUUAAAUUCUUUCAAUACCUUUAUAAAUGUAGUAUUCAUGAAAGUGAAGAAUUUAUAGGGCUGUAGGUAUAUUUCUCAGAAUCCUGCUAAAUACUGACCUGUAUCAUCCCCUGAUAUUCCAUUCCUGAGCUUUCACACUAUUCCUUUGAGAUUGUACCUGACUUGCAAUGCGUGGCCUUCUGUUUCUAGAAAACAGAGACCAGUAAUCAUGCCAAAUUGUAUUAAAGUUACUGUGAUCUGGAUCCACUAGGACCUAGAAUGGAUCUACCAAAGCCAUUUUGCUGUAUCUAAUGUAUUUUGCUGUUCUCCAGACUAAUGUAUUAGUCUAUUGUACCUCAAGCCAUCCUACGAACAGAUUCAGGGGUUACCACUUCACCCUUCAAGACCUCAAUUUAAAGUUUUAUGAGACACACUGUGUUCUUUCCUCUGAUAUGCUCCCAGUAUUCUUGCUGUAGAUAGGUGUUAGCAAGAGCAUGUGAAGUGAUAAUUUCCAUCACUGCCACUGGGUUCCUUCUCACCCUGAGUUAUUCUUGGUCUCGCAUUUAUUCAUUCUCUAAAUCAGGGGGUCCCUGAUAACAUGUUCUACAUAUUAAUAGAGUGUGCCUUGUAGAUACGUACUGUUCUGUUUUCAAUUGCCAGACAUCUUGUCUACCAUUUAUGAUUGUAUAUUAUCCCUGUGGCAACUACAGCAAUCGGUUACAUGAAAAGUAAUGAUAAAGGAAAAUACUUAAGGUAUUUUUAGCUUCUUUUAAUGUGAGUUAGCAGCUGAAAGUAAGUUUGUACCUAUAACCUUAAUUCCAGCUUAAAGAAGGUGGAGGUUUUUUAUUUUUUGAUUGUUUGUUUCCCCAGAAAUAAUAAUAAUGUAAGAACAAAAACUUAGGCCAUAGUACUACAACUGAUGAGGUGCCAGGCUCUGAAAUGCAUGAAUCAGUGGGAGAGCUCUUCAAGAGUAUAUUUUUGAAAACUUUUUGGGAGAGCAAUUGUGAUGGCAGGGGGGCAGAAACUGGAAUUUAAUAUCCUUUCUUAUUUGCUGCCAUUUCUUCAGUCCUAGUGGAUGCUAGUCAGAGCCCAAAGGACAUAGAGACCUGGGUGAAGUAAUCCUCCUUGUCCCAGGAGACUAAGAGAGUUAGUUCCAUGUCUAGCUACUGGAGAUUCUAACUUCACUAAUUAACACACUCACCUGUGAAAACCAUGGGUAAAUUACAGACUAUAUAUUUUGUGCCACCACCACCUGAAGUAGAUGCUGGAUAUGUCCUAGCUACAGCAAGCAGAAUCUUCUAUUCUCUUAUCUGUUUGUGCCUGAAGUAAUUUUUAAAGCAGAUCAAAAAAUGCAAACACUGUUAGGUUUGGGCACAUGUGAAAUGUAAAAGAAGCUAUAUGUUUUUAUACCACCUAUAUUAUUAAACAGUUGCCCCUAGGGAUAAGGGCACAAAUAACACAGGAGUCAGUGGAGUCCUCUCUGCUAGUUUUAUAACAGCUGAGAGUUCCUCUGCAUAAGGGAAAUUCUUCACUGGCUCUCUUUGACCACUUUCUGCCCAAAUUCUUCCAGCCUGCUUGGAAGUUAUAACAAUAUAUUGCUGUCUGAUUUCAUGCUGUUGUACUUUAUAUUUAAAAUGGGUGGGGGGAGGUUGGGAGAAAACCUACAAUCUGUUUGU